GGUUAAGUGACUAAGCGUACACGGUGGAUGCCCUGGCAGUCAGAGGCGAUGAAAGACGUAGUAACUUGCGAUAAGCCCAGAUUAGGUAGUAACAACCAUUUGAGUCUGGGAUUUCUGAAUGGGGAAACCCACUUACAUAAGUAAGUAUCAUUAACUGAAUACAUAGGUUAAUGAGGCGAACCGGGGGAACUGAAACAUCUAAGUACCCCGAGGAAA
rnacentral:rRNA from 1 species